rnacentral:rRNA from 1 species
UACGUAGGUGGCAAGCGUUGUCCGGAAUUAUUGGGCGUAAAGCGCGCGCAGGCGGUUCUUUAAGUCUUCUGUGAAAGCCCACGGCUCAACCGUGGAGGGUCAUUGGAAACUGGAGAACUUGAGUACAGAAGAGGAAAGCGGAAUUCCACGUGUAGCGGUGAAAUGCGUAGAGAUGUGGAGGAACACCAGUGGCGAAGGCGGCUUACUGGACACAUAUUGACGCUGAGGUGCGAAAGCGUGGGGAGCAAACAGG